CCUACGGGAGGCAUCAGUGGGGGAUAUUGCACAAUGGGGGGAACCCUGAUGCAGCGACGCUGCGUGGGUGAAGAAGCGCCUCGGCGCGUAAAGCCCUGUCAGCAGGGAAGAAAAUGACGGUACCUGAAGAAGAAGCCCCGGCUAACUACGUGCCAGCAGCCGCGGUAAUACGUAGGGGGCAAGCGUUAUCCGGAUUUACUGGGUGUAAAGGGGGCGCAGACGGCGAUGCAAGCCAGGAGUGAAAGCCGGGGGCCCAACCCCGGGACUGCUCUUGGAACUGCGUGGCUGGAGUGCAGGAGGGGCAGGCGGAAUUCCUGGUGUAGCGGUGAAAUGUGUAGAUAUCAGGAGGAACACCGGUGGCGAAGGCGGCCUGCUGGACUGCAACUGACGUUGAGGCCCGAAAGCGUGGGGAGCAAACAGGAUUAGAUACCCGUGUAGUC
rnacentral:rRNA from 1 species